AAGACUAUCCUCUCCAUGAUCAUUUCUAUAGUUUGUUAUUAGAGUAGUUUCUCUCAAUGCAUAGAGCAUCAGAAACCACAAGCAAGAGGUGCAGUGGUCUCUCCUCUUGGUGUUGCUUCUUGGUUCUUCUCUCCCUUUGGGAGAGGAAGAGAAAGAGGGUACAGUCUUAGCAGU
ensembl:snoRNA U3 Small nucleolar RNA U3